AUUGAACGCUGGCGGCAGGCCUAACACAUGCAAGUCGAACGAGUGGCGGACGGGUGAGUAAUGUGUGGGAAACUGCCCGAUGGAGGGGGAUAACUACUGGAAAAGGUAGCUAAUACCGCAUUCCAUCGGAAUUGCCCAGAGGGGAUUGGCUAGUAGGUGGGGUAACGGCUCACCUAGGCGACGAUCCCUAUCUGGUCUGAGAGGGUGACCAGCCACACUGGAAAUGAGACACGGCCCAGACUCCUACGGGAGGCAGCAGUGGGGAAUAUUGCACAAUGGGCGCAAGCCUUAUGCAGCCAGGCCGCGUGUAGGAAGAAGGCCUUCGGGUUGUAAAGUUCUUUCGGUAGCGAGGCGUUAACUACAGAAGAAGCACCGGCUAACUCCGUGCCAGCAGCCGCGGUAAUAC
rnacentral:rRNA from 1 species